ACACCUGAAAUUCCAUAUAACAAUUUAUAUGUAUAAAAUGUGUCCGAUCAGCAUAUCUUUAUAUAUAAAAGAAGCAUUGUAUCCCUCCUGAGGCUGCCAGCUCGGAUGCCACGUCGGAAAUAGAAGCUCCCUCGCGCUGCCAUGUCGGAUCCGCACCGUUUCACUAAAGUUUCUGUCUGAACGGGCUUCACGCGCUAACCAGAGGAUUCUUCUUCACGAGGCCCAUCUGCACAGAUCUUCUACGGAAAACCCUAAUCAGGUGCUCCCUUCCUGAUCUUCGUUCGUCUUCUAUCGGCGCAGCGAUCGUCCAGAAUCUGUAACGGUUAUGCUUUUAAUCGUCUUUAAUCGUCUUUAAUUCCUACCCCACUCAAAUCAACCUCUUGAGCCGUUCAUCGGCUAUAUUAAUCGUCUUUAAUCCUGGUUUAUAUAUUAGAAGCGAGUUUCACUGUCGGGAAGCGAGGUUCUCAGAGAGAUUCAGGCAUCAUCUUCCACCUAGAUGAAAAGAAACUUCUAUUUCAUUUGGGAUCAUGGAUUUUGGUGGACUUCCAAAUAUUAUCUGGAAGAGUUUCUGUAAAUUCUUUGGUCCACUUCAAGUUCCUGAGAACACCAAUGAUCCUGAUGAUGGAUAGGUAUGGCCAUCCCCAAUAGAAAACUUGAUACUUAAUUUAGUACUUCAGAAUCAGAAUGCGUUAAGUGUUAACUUAAUAAUUUUUUUAUUGCACAGGCUGAAGAACUCCAAGCCCAAAUGGAGCACGACUAUGACAACAGGUCUGACUUCUGAUCUCAUAUUCAGUUCUCUUUGCUUUUUAGCUCAAUUCUAGGAUCUAAACAUGUCAGCUGUUUAAUCUGUAGAUCAAACCAUUAAAGAGAAAAUCAUCUUGCGUGUUGUGUCAAAGUUUACUGGCGAAGUUCUUGCAUGCUGUGUCAAGGUUUACGAUGAUUAUGAGAUUACUGAAGAUGAUGAUGAGGAUGUGAAGGGAGGAAGAUAAGUAGGAGGAUGAGGACGACAAUGAAGAGGAUGAGCAGGGAAAGAAGAGCAUAAAAAGGUACUAAGUGGUUAAAAUGGUUUUACAUAUAACUCAAACCUUGGAAACUGAUAUUGGUGGCUUCUCUUUGUUUUGUUGCAGUCAUCAGCUGGACGGAAGGUUUUAACAAUUACUCAAUAUCGACCUUUGGUUCUAUUUCUUAUAAUUAUUUAAGGGCUGAUAUAACCUGAGGCUCUUUUCUUUGUGAACAAAGGUCUGGAAGCAUACAACUUGCGGAAGGUCAACAAGGUGAGAGGCCAUUGGAGAGUAAGCAACAGUGAGUAAAAUUCUUCUGCAGUAUAGAAAGUGGCUUAUUUGUGAAGAGUUGGGUCUUUCUAUUUCUGAAGUUGUAGAAUCGUUGUCCGUUUGAUACGAAAUAUCAAGUUUUGUCGAGUGGUUUGCUAAAAAAAUUUGGUUAUUUGGUUUGGUCUGGUUUGCGUCUGAUUUUUCAUUUGUAACGUGUGUCUAAUCAUGAACUGGUUUGAACCCUUUCUAAUAGUAUUUGUGGUUUUGUUAACAAUUCAUAUUGCCAAUUUCUACUCUUUUUGGCCUCUGUCUGCGUAAGGUUAAUACAUUAUUAAGAGUUCUUUCGGUUCGUAAAGAGAAAAAAAUGUGUACGUCUGUAUCCAUCUAACAAUUCAGGAUCCAAAACAAGUAACAUUACCUAAAACUUUUUAAAAUUCUUUAUACUUAGGAUAAAUUACACAAUUUCUCUAAUUUCAGCUUUCUAUUUUAUAUAAUGGGGUGAUGUAUAUUUUUGCAUUGUUGUAUUUCGUCACAAACUAAUGAAUUUGAGAAUUUUGGAAAGAGCAUCGCAAUGAUGUAAAAGGGUGUUUGAAUGAAAGAGAACAUAAAAACGGUGUAUUCACUUAUUUAGUUUUCUUUGCUUUUUUUUCAAAAAUUAAUUUUUAGAAUAAAAAUCAACUCUUUGAAAAAGACAAAUAAAUAAUAAAAAAACAUCUCAAAACACUUAAAGUUAUAAAAUAUGUAAAAGACAGUAACAAAAAAAUAAUCUCUAACAUAUAAAAAGAUUCAUUAGAAUGUUUCCUAAGCUAUAAUAAUAAAAGAUUUGCCACCACCAAUAGAAUAUGUUAAACAAAUAUCACAACUUUUGUACUAAUAAGUUAUUAAAUUUUAUAAAAAUUAGAAGUACGAAAUUCUCAACCUUUGUAAAUCUCAAACAACUAUCGUCAUCUUAAAAAACAACACAAUACGUCUAAAAAAUCACAAAAUCUCAAACUAUCGUCAUCUAUAUAACUCCGGUUAGACAUAUAUGUUAUUUAUUUUUUUAAAAUAUCAUCUUACAACUUUAUUCGGUAUUCAAGUUCAAUCAAAAUUCAAUCGAAAAGACUAAUCGAUACAUCAAAAACGAGUAUAUGAAAUUCAAAGAAACAAAAAAACAAAACGCACAGGAGAGUCAACAAUUUAAGACAUCA